rnacentral:rRNA from 1 species
UACGUAGGUGGCAAGCGUUGUCGGAAUUAUUGGGCGUAAAGCGCGUGUAGGCGGCUUUGCAAGUCGGGUGUGAAAGCCCUCAGCUCAACUGAGGAAGUGCGCCCGAAACUGCAGAGCUUGAGUACCGGAGAGGAUGGCGGAAUUCCCCAAGUAGAGGUGAAAUUCGUAGAUAUGGGGAGGAACACCGGUGGCGAAGGCGGCCAUCUGGACGGAUACUGACGCUGAGACGCGAAAGCGUGGGGAGCAAACAGG